AGAAGGUGUCUGUGUUUUCAUCUUGCAACCAGCGUAGCCUUAGAGAGACACCAUGACCAUGCCUUCAAUCUUGCUCUUCUGCUUCAUCUCUCUCUUUCUAGGGCAUGGUGUUGUGGAGCUUGAAGCUUCCCACCAUGUUUACAGACACCUUCAAUCAUACCAAUCUGCUCCUGCAAAACAACCUUACAGAACCUCUUAUCAUUUCCAACCUCCCAAGAAUUGGAUGAAUGGUACUUUCUCUUCCACCUAAAACCUCUUCUUUCUUUUUUCUUUUUACUUUCUCUUCCACCUAAAACCUCUUCUUUCUUUUUUCUUUUUUCUUUUUAUUUUAUUUCUCUCUAGUUAUAUCUCCUAACAGUUUUGUUCUUGUUGUUGCUUCUUGUUUUUUUUCCCUCCAAUGAAAUGGACAAAUGGAUGUGUUUGGAAAUGCAGAUCCUAAUGGACCAAUGAUUUACAAAGGACUUUACCAUCUUUUCUAUCAAUGGAAUCCAAAAGGUGCAGUUUGGGGAAACAUAGUGUGGGCCCAUUCAACAUCAACGGAUCUAGUUAACUGGAUCCCACAUGAUCCUGCAAUCUUUCCAUCAGAGGAAUCUGAUAUCAACGGUUGUUGGUCAGGCUCAGCAACAAUCUUACCCGAUGGUAAACCAGCAAUGCUCUACACCGGAAUAAACCCACAAAACCAGCAGGUUCAAAACCUAGCCACACCCAAAAGCCUCUCAGACCCAUUUCUUAGAGAAUGGGUUAAAUCCACAGAGAACCCAUUAAUGAUGCCCACUAAAGAAAACGGUAUAAAUGCAACCCAAUUCAGAGACCCAACCACUGGUUGGCUUGGACAUGAUGGAAGAUGGAGGGUCAUUGUUGGUUCCAAAAGAAAACAUGGUGGAUUAGCUUUUCUCUACAGGAGCAAAGACUUUGUCCAUUGGACAAAAGCUCAGCAUCCCCUCCAUUCUAAUAAAGAUGGUGGAAUGUGGGAAUGCCCUGAUUUUUUCCCUGUUUCAAUCAAAAGCCAAAUUGGUGUUGAUACUUCUUUGGUUGGUCCCUAUGUUAAGCAUGUUCUUAAGGUGAGUUUGGAUGACACCAAGCAUGAUUACUACACCAUAGGGACUUAUAACACUGACAAGGAUAUCUAUACCCCGGAUAAAGGACAUGUUCAGGAUACUUCAGCUUUGAGAUAUGAUUACGGUAAAUUUUAUGCUUCAAAAACUUUCUUUGACGGCCCCAAACAGAGGAGAAUCUUGUGGGGUUGGAUCAAUGAAUCUUCAUCCGUUGCGGAUGAUGAAAAGAAAGGAUGGUCUGGCGUCCAGGCAAUACCAAGGACCCUUUGGCUUGAUAAAUCCGGAAAACAGUUGGUGCAAUGGCCGAUACCAGAAAUUGAAAAACUACGUGUAAACCCAGUCACCUGGCCUAGCAAAGCGCUCAAGGGGGGUUCAGUGGUUGAAGUUUCCAAAGUUACAGCAGUGCAGGCAGAUAUAGAAAUUUCAUUCAAAAUUACUGGUUUUGAGAAAGCAGAAGUUCUAGAUCCUAGUUGGAAAGACCCACAAAUUAUCUGUAGCCAAAAAGGUGCAUCAGUUAAAGGCGCUUUAGGACCUUUUGGUUUACUGGUUUUGGCUUCAAAUGGCUUGGAAGAAUACACAGCGGUGUUCUUUAGAAUUUUCAAAGCUGACAACAAAUAUGUGGUGCUCUUCUGCAGUGACCAAAGCAGGUCGUCUUUGAAUGAAGAUAAUGAUAAGACCACUUAUGGGACUUUUCUUGAUGUUGACCCUGUUCAUGACAAGUUGUCACUAAGAAGCCUGAUUGAUCACUCUAUAGUGGAGAGUUUUGGCGGAGAAGGGAAGGCUUGCAUAACAGCUAGAGUUUAUCCAAUAAUGGCUACUGAACGUGGAGCCCAUUUAUAUGCUUUCAACAAUGGAACUGAGAAUGUUCAGAUUACAAAAUUGAAUGCAUGGAGCAUGAAGAAAGCAAAAAUCAAUUGAAGCGUGUAGAAAUGAAAACAGAAUAAGAGCGAGAUGAAAGAUGACCAUAAAAUCAUAUUAAUAUUAUUCAUAAAAUGUCCUAUUGGUAGUUGGUUGUUGUUGAUAUGAGGAUGGGGAUUCGAACUCAGUGGCUUUUAUUGUUGGAUGAUUCCCACAUAUGAGUAUUUAGAAGGCUGCCUAUGUUAAAGUGUCUUCUUAAAAAAUUCUGAGUGUUCAAUAAAUCUAAUAAAGCCAGUGUGCUCAGCCCUGGCAUGUACUUGUAUUAGAGUCCCAAUUAUGUUGUGAACCCAAAAAAUUAUUUUAUUUUAUAUAUAAUCCUCCAUUUUUUUUC